AUACGUAGGUGACAAGCGUUAUCCGGAUUUACUGGGCGUAAAGGGCGUGUAGGCGGUCUUGCAAGUCAGAAGUGAAAUUCCUGAGCUCAACUCGGGCGCUGCUUCUGAAACUGCAGGACUUGAGUGCUGGAGGGGAUAGCGGAAUUCCUAGUGGAGCGGUAAAAUGCGCAGAUAUAAGGAAGAACACCGGGGGCGAAGGCGGUUAUCUGGGCAGUAACGGACGCUGUGGCGCGAAAGCGUGUGGAGCAAACAGGAGUAGAGACCCUGGUUUUCCACGCCGUAAACGAGGAAUACUAGGUGUAGGGGGUAUCGACUCCCUCUGUGCCGCAGUUAACACAAUAAGUAUUCCGCCUGGGGAGUACGGCCGCAAGGUUGAAACUCAAAUGAAUUGACGGGU
rnacentral:rRNA from 1 species